CCUACGGGUGGCAGCAGUGAGGAAUAUUGGUCAAUGGACGAGAGUCUGAACCAGCCAAGUAGCGUGAAGGAUGACUGCCCUAUGGGUUGUAAACUUCUUUUAUAUGGGAAUAAAAUGUUCCACGUGUGGGAUUUUGUAUGUACCAUAUGAAUAAGGAUCGGCUAACUCCGUGCCAGCAGCCGCGGUAAUACGGAGGAUCCGAGCGUUAUCCGGAUUUAUUGGGUUUAAAGGGAGCGUAGGUGGAUUGUUAAGUCAGUUGUGAAAGUUUGCGGCUCAACCGUGAAAUUGCAGUUGAAACUGGCAGUCUUGAGUACAGUAGAGGUGGGCGGAAGUCGUGGUGUAGCGGUGAAAUGCUUAGAUAUCACGAAGAACUCCGAUUGCGAAGGCAGUUCACUGGACUGCAACUGACACUGAGGCUCGAAAGUGUGGGUAUCAAACAGGAUUAGAUACCCGUGUAGUC
rnacentral:rRNA from 1 species